rnacentral:rRNA from 1 species
AACGAACGCUGGCGGCGUGCUUAACACAUGCAAGUCGAACGCGAAAGGGACUUCGGUCCUGAGUAGAGUGGCGCACGGGUGAGUAACGCGUAAGUGAUCUACCCCUGUAUUUGGGAUAACUAUGGGAAACUGUAGCUAAUACCGGAUACGUUCAUGUAGUUGCGAUUAUGUGAAGAAAGAUGGCCUCUGAUUCAAGCUAUUGUACAGGGAGGAGCUUGCGUACCAUUAGCUAGUUGGUUGGGUAAUGGCCUACCAAGGCAACGAUGGUUAGCGGGUCUGAAGGGAUGAUCCGCCACACUGGAACUGAAACACGGACCAGACUCCUACGGGAGGCAGCAGUGAGGAAUAUUGCGCAAUGGGGGCAACCCUGACGCAGCGACGCCGCGUGGAUGAUGAAGGCCUUCGGGUCGUAAAAUCCUGUCAGAUGGAAAGAAGUGUGAUGUGGUUAAUACCCAUGUCAUUUGACGGUACCAUCAGAGGAAGCACCGGCUAACUCCGUGCCAGCCGCCGCCGUAA